rnacentral:rRNA from 1 species
ACGUUAGCGGCGGACGGGUGAGUAACACGUGGGUAACCUACCUAUAAGACUUGGAUAACUUCGGGAAACCGGAGCUAAUACCGGAUAAUGUUUCGAACCGCAUGGUUCGAUAGUGAAAGAUGGUUUUGCUAUCACUUAUAGAUGGACCCGCGCCGUAUUAGCUAGUUGGUAAGGUAACGGCUUACCAAGGCGACUAUACGUAGCCGACCUGGGAGGGUGAUCGGCCACACUGGAACUGAGACACGGUCCAGACUCCUACGGGAGGCAGCAGCA